GAUAGUGAGGUCCAUGGAAGGAAGCAGGGAAAUUGGGCAUCUGAAUGAGGGGAUAUGGGAGGCAUGGGUGGAGAGAGAGGUGACAGAGGACGAAACCAGAGAAGAGGACACAAAGAGGGGCCAAGGGGCAGGGAGCAGCUUGAGGAGGGGGAGUCAAAGCUCAGGCGGUGUCUUCUCAGCUGCAGGCGGCCUGUGGUGGGAUCAGAAGGGAGGCUGUUUGAGGGGCCUAGUUUAACGUGAUGUUUUCUCUUUCACCACAGCUAAGAAGAAAUGGGUGAAGACGGCCAGAACAUGGGGGAAGCAGGAGAUUCAACUCUGUCUCUCCCUCCAUGGUGCCUGUGAUUUUUUUUCUCUUGGGCUCCAGGUUGUGGCGACGAAAGGUGUCCACGGAGAGCUGUUCACCUGAGGCCAGCUGAGCUCCCUGAAGCCUCAGGCAGUUCUCAGGCGGCUGAUCAUCUCUACUUUGUGGAUGAGGAAGCAGGAGGCCCAGAGAUGGGAACUGAGCAGCCCAAGUGACAGGCACAUGAAUCGCUGCUAUUUCCCUCAUAUGAAAGAUAAGAAAACGGAAGCAGAAAGAGGCGAAAUAAGCAGCUACAUGAUUGUCGGGGCCAGCGUUGGUCAGCCAGGGCUGGGAAGCUGUUUCAGGAAUGAGCUUCACAGCCUCAUGUGUCUUCUUGGAAACAGUCGUGGUGGUGUUCGGCGGGUUGGGUGGUAAGUACUGCCCUUGAACAUGUGCAUUAGCAUCCUCCUUUCUGCAAUUAUUCUACAGGGCAGUGAUGUGUGGAGGUACACGGCCUCUAACACUCCUCCUCAAACAGCCUUUCCUCCAUCUCCACCUAAACUUCUUUUCUGAGUCUGACUCCCCGAGUGUCUGCCACACACCGGCCUCUACACCCCCAGCUCUGAGAAGGAACUGGCUGGCUGCAAUCCCAGAUGAAUUUUGGAUCUUUGGCCCCUCCCCUUUGAAGUGUGCAAGGGGGCCAGCA